ACAGAGGCGAGGCACCACUGCAUCUGGCGUUUGGACGGAAGGAGAGGAAGCAAAGUCUUCUGGUAGAGAUGGGGCGCCGCCCGAAGCUCUCCUCGCCUCCAGCUGCGCCAGAUGGAGCUUCUUCGUCGACCAUGCUGGCUGCCAAGAAGGUGCCUGCACUGAACACGACGUACAAUGCCGGGCUGCUCCAUUCCAUCGCCGGAGAAUGGAAUCCAAACAUCAAAGGUGUGUUCUCCGGCAUAGGCAUGGAAGAAAUCUGCAAGAUAAAGGAUAUGGGGAACAACAACCGUAUCUUUAGCAUGUCCCUCUUAGCUAGGAUCGAUCCCAAAACCAUGAAGAUGGACAUGGGUGAUGGCAAUCACGUUGUGAUAGACUCUAGGGAGGUGGCAAAGUGCAUAGGGUUGAAUCCAUGAGGUAGGAAGAUAGAUAUCCCGGGCGGCGCUUGCUUAGCAGACCGGGAACGCUUGCUAGAGAACUUGCAUGUGAGAUUAGAGACAAACAUGUCUCGCACCUGUAAGAUCCCUGUGGUCAGAGUUAAGAAAAUCAUCCAAAACGCAAGCAAGGUGGCGAUAGUAGGAGCAGAGAGAGAGAGAAGAUGAUGGUGGCAUGUACAAUCAUAGCCGCGUCAUCGUUUCUCCUACCCAGGGGAGCACACCCAAAAAUUGCAAAUGAACUGCUGCCGGUGCUAGCUGAGCCAAACCAAAUCUCCGACUAUGACUUUUGCGAUUAUGUUGUGGAGGGGCUGAGAGAGGGUGCGGCCAAGCUGAGGGAGGAUCUACUGCACGACCCAACUCAGCUCUCUCUGCAGGGCUGCCUUGUUAUCCCACAGAUUAUUUUCUGCGAUUACCAUGAGCACGGGAUGGAGGGGCGAGAGGCGCUGCCGUUCCCUCGUCUAGCAUCGUACUCGGAUUUGAUGAUGAAACUAUAGAUCAAAAAGCAUGCAACAAGGAAUCGUGUGGACGCUGGGUUUGAGGCUGCGGAUGUUCCUAGAUCGCCGGCAUUUAAUGUCGUUUCUGCUAGCCCAGCUCAAGCACAAGGCUGGACCACGCCAAGUUCUAGUGUGCAUGCUGCUCCCCUGGAUUUGGUGUGGCCCAUGAGCAAGUGAUACCUGCAGAGAUUCUUGAUGCGAUGGAGGAGGCAGUGCAUCAUCGACUGAAGCAGCGGGAGGAGGAAUUCCUCAAGAUAGUGGAGGAGACGCAGGGUGUCGGGGAUAUACCCCGCGGCGUAAACCGGCCGGAAGUAUAACCCGGCCGGACUAGUUGUUUCAUUGGUAAACCGCCAGAGGAUUGGCGAUGUAAACCGGCCGGAAGUUAACCCGGCCGGACUUGGCGG